UACGAGUGCCCCAAGCGUUAUCCGGAAUUAUUGGGCGUAAAGGGUCAGUAGGCGGUCUAGUUAGUCUUCUGUCAAAUUCUUCGGCUUAACCGGGGGUCCGCAGGGGAAACGGCUAGACUUGAGGAUGCGAGAGGUGAAUGGAACUCAUAGUGUAGGGGUGAAAUCCGUUGAUAUUAUGGGGAACACCAAAAGCGAAGGCAAUUCACUGGCGCACUCCUGACGCUGAAUGACGAAAGCGUGGGUAGCGAAUGGG
rnacentral:rRNA from 1 species